UACAACAUGUUUCCUGGUCCCCCAAAAGAACUGUAACGCCACAAGUCAGACACCGGUACAAAUGUUGCACCCCGUCUCUCUCUCUCCUGCUCUCUCUCUCUCUCUCCAACAAGAAACUUCUCAUGUUGUGUACCAGCAAGCGACAACAGCCAAAAAGGGGGUGGACAUACACGCUGUGAUAUAUUUUAGCUUCUUAGUUGAUCAAGAAUAAUAAGAAAAGAAGGGGAAAAUGAGCGCUACUUUUCGAUAAGGAACUGAUCUCUUGGAAAGGGACACCUCUGCAAUCUGCCCCUCGGUUCGGAGGGACCCGGCUGCCGGGUUUCAGCAAGAAGGAACGGGAUAUUAUCAUUCUCGUACUUAUAGCAGCUCUGUCUGUACACCCACGUAAACCCCGGGAGAAUACGAAAUUCCACACAGAAGACGAUACAGCCUGAAAUCGACCCUGCGGGCUCAAGUGCUACGAGGCGACAACAAGUCCCACAAAGCCACCCUGCCGUUCGAUUUAUACAUUUUGAACUUGGUGUAUGUGCAUUUUAAUGCCUUUCUGUACACGAUUUUGAGCAUUUUUGCAAAGCUUUAGUUGUGUUGUCCAAUAAAUUGAAAACAGGUGUGAUCCUA